UACGGAGGGUGCGAGCGUUGUCCGGAAUCAUUGGGCGUAAAGGGCGCGUAGGUGGCGGGACAAGCGUGCGGUGAAAGCUCGGGGCUCAACCCCGCGUCGGCCGUGCGAACUGUUUUGCUUGAGCACUGUAGAGGCAGGCGGAAUUCCGGGUGUAGCGGUGGAAUGCGUAGAGAGUCCGGAAGAACGACCGGUGGCGAAGGCGGCCUGCUGGGCAGUAGCUGACACUGAGGCGCGACAGCGUGGGGAGCAAACAGG
rnacentral:rRNA from 1 species